rnacentral:rRNA from 1 species
GCAGUCUGGUGCCAGCAGCCGCGGUAAUUCCAGCUCCAAUAGCGUAUAUUAAACUUGUUGCAGUUAAAAAGCUCGUAGUUGUAUUUUUGCGUUAGCGGUUUGACCAUUUGGUUGGUUAUUUCGUUUUCGCUUUUGGGAAUUUCCCUUUUUACUUUGAGAAAAUUAGAGUGUUUCAAGCAGACUUUUGUCUUGAAUACUUCAGCAUGGAAUAAUAGAGUAGGACUUUGGUUCUAUUUUGUUGGUUAUUGAACCUUAGUAAUGGUUAAUAGGAACGGUUGGGGGCAUUCGUAUUUAACUGUCAGAGGUGAAAUUCUUAGAUUUGUUAAAGACGAACUACUGCGAAAGCAUUUGCCAAGGACGUUUCCAUUAUUCAAGA